rnacentral:tRNA from 1 species
GCGGGUAUCGUAUAAUGGUUAUUAUAUUACCUUGCCAAGGUAGAAAUACGGGUUCGAUUCCCGUUACCCGCUCCA